UACGUAGGGUGCAAGCGUUGUCCGGAAUUAUUGGGCGUAAAGAGCUCGUAGGCGGUUUGUCGCGUCUGCUGUGAAAUCUGGGGGCUCAACCCCCAGCCUGCAGUGGGUACGGGCAGACUAGAGUGCGGUAGGGGAGAUUGGAAUUCCUGGUGUAGCGUUGGAAUGCGCAGAUAUCAGGAGGAACACCGAUGGCGAAGGCAGAUCUCUGGGCCGUAACUGACGCUGAGGAGGCGAAAGCAUGGGGAGCGAACAGG
rnacentral:rRNA from 1 species